AAUAUGAAGUUUUAUUAAAAGAAAAAGGGGUGAAAAGAACAAAGAUUUGUCCAUCUUUGUUCAUCAUAGCUGAAAGUUAGAGAAGAGAAAGGAGAGGAGAAAGCUCUUGAGUAUUUGGCCAUUAGGAGGAGGAAAAUUGAAGGUAAGUUCUUGGUACCUUGCUUCUAUUUUGAGGUUCAUGAGUUCUUCUUGAUUCUACCUUAACUCUUGAAGUAUAUUUUGAUUUUUAGUUGUGUUGUGAGCAUUUAGUCAUGAAUUAAAAUGAAGGAAAUGGUUGUUGUUUCAUGUUCUUUUGAUGAAAAAUGGAAGAUAGGUGAAGUUGAGCCAAACAAAUGAGCAUGCAUGUGCCUUAGAUGUUAAAGGGAAAAAUCAGCUAACAUGUUGUGCUUUAAAAUGAUGAAAUGGAGAUUAUACUUAAGUAAAAUCAUAGAUAUGUGAUGAUUGAUUGGUGAUAUACAUGUUUAAAUAACAUGCAUGCAAGGUAUGUGUGAAAGAGUGAUUUGGUAAUAAAUCUGCUUGGGACAGCAGCAGUAACGUGACUUUGGAAAAUCACCAUAAAUUGUGGGAGAUGAAUUAGAAGCUGAAUAAAUUAUGUAAUUAAAGCUUAUUUAGUCUAGUUUCUAAUGAAAUAAACAAGAACAUAUUUUGAAUUCUGUACAAUGAUAAAUUUGAUUCGUAAUGAAGAGUGGCCAGAUUAGUCAAACAGUGAAACAUGGGAAACUUUAAGAAAAAUCUGGUAUUGAUUGGCCAUACCAAAAAUUAUGAAAAUUUUAUGGAUAAAAGAUAUAUGAGUCUAUUUUCAGGGAAAAUUAACGGCACUUGAUUUUGAGUUUCGUAGCUCCAGUUAUAAAUAAUUUAGUGACUAUUGCUCAGGAAGACAGCUUGCAGUGAAAUUAUGAUUAUGUGGUAAACAUUGACAAAAACUUGUUAAUGAGUUGCUUAUUUAUUUCUUAUAAGCUUACUAUGAUCUGUAGGUGUGGUUGGCCGAAUAUUGUAAGGAGUUAAUACGUAGUUUGUAUUUGAAUAGUUAGAUUAAUGUGUUAGUAAUCCAAUUGUAGGCGGUUCGUGUGUAUAUCUCGUCAGCAUAUCGUCGCAAACAGGUGUGUAACUGACACCCUCUCAUAGACUAGAUUGGCAAAAGCCGAAAAGCCGAAAUGCCGAAAAGUCAGUAUUUUGGGAAUUUGCGAGUGUGCGAAUGCUCGUAAGAUAGUUGGGUUUGUAUAUUUGAUAAUCUAAAGUAAUAAACUGCAGUACGCGCGAUUUCGUACAUUUUGAUAAUUUGGACUUAAUGGGCCAAAGAUCGGGUUCAUGGGCCAACGGGCCCAAUUCAGUAAGUAUGUGCGGUAAGUGUUCUGAUAGUACGUAAAUAGUUAGGAUAUGCAUGAAAACCCUAAAAGUAGCUAAAUUACUAUAAUACCCCUAUGUAUGGAAAAUUACUGUUAUACCCCUAGGUGCAAAAUUACCGUUAUACCCCUAGGGUUAAUUUUGACUGAAAAGCAUGACGAUCUGAUUCUGUAUGAUGUAUGCCAUGAUUAUAUAUCUGUUGCAUGGGGACAUGGGUUAUAUUAUGGAGGAAGCGUUCUGGUGGCUAUGCCACAAAUAUCUGAUCUAGUGGCUCUGCCACAUAUAUCUGUUCUGGUGGCUCUGCCACGAUUAUCUGUAUCUGGUGGCUCUGUCACAUUAUCUGUUCUGGCAGCCAUGCUGCAAAUUCUGUGGUGUGUAGCGAUUGGGUGGGUCGAGUUGUCUCCCCACACGGUGUAAGGUUGGUACGGGGGUGUAUACGGUUGGAUAUGGUUGGGUUUCUGCAUAAACAUGUAAUAUAUGUUCUAUUAUGUUAUGGGCCUAUGGGCUUUAUUUUGAAUUCUGUUCUGGGCUAAGGCCAACUUAUUCUAUUUCUAUGGUUUAAGCUGAUAUAGGCUAUGGUUGGGUUAAUUUACACACUGAGUUUCCCCAAACUCACCCCUUUUAUUUUCAUCCACGCAGGUAAUCCCCAACCAUAGUGGGCUUGGAGCUGUGAGGGAAUUCGGAGUGGCCACCUGUUCUGAAAGUUUGAUUUUCUUCUGGUGAACUGGACAUCCUUUUAUUUACGUUUGAAGUUUUGGGUUUUUAAAUGUAAUAAGGCCGCUUAUUUAUUUUUGAUGGUUUUUUUAUAUGUAUUACUAAGAUAGGUAAUACUAAUUUUAACUGUUGAAAUUGGAUAGCUUUAGGGCGCGUUUUCAAAAACAACAGUUGAUUUCAAAAUAACACGACAACAAGCAAAGCUUUCGCAAUGAAAGUAUUUUCCAAAAUUAAUCACUUUUCCUAAAAAUGACUUAAUCAAAUCGGUUUCCUAGAAAUAUCCAUGACGUUAAAGUGUGGCAAUGGCGGUAUGCAUGUCUAGGAUUGGAUCCGAAGGGAGCUUGGUACUUAAGCAGUCCGAUGGACUCACCACCUCUUUUCCGGUUUCCUACCUGGUGCACAGCUUCCAUUCACUUUAACAUUUAAUGAAUUAAUCUUUUGAACAUCAAGUACGAUUUUCUGGACUUAGAAUGGAAAUUUUUUUUUUACAUUUUUGAUGUGGCAUGCCGGAUCCGGUCAUAACUUCUGGGCCGGGUUUGGGGUGCUACAGUAAAAAAAAUUGUUUGUGGUUCUAUGUUUAAUUUGAACCGUUCGAGGCCACAUUCGAAGCAUUUUGUGGUAAGAUAGUGAAGAAGGUUGUUCAGUUGAAAGCUGGGAACGACAAGGAUCCGUCUAGCAGAAAACUCGUGCGAUUUCAGUAAAGAGUUUAUUGCUAUAAAUAUUACAAACCGGUUCGAUUUUUAAAAUUUUUAUUUUUCACUAUGUAGAAAAACCAUUUUUUGAACCAAAUUUCUUCUAUAGCUGCAGCCAACAUUGAUGGCUCUCUAGCUUGUUUAAAUUUCUUGUUCCUCUUUUGGGUUGUCAUAGAAACAUUAGGCCUUAACAAGCAUGCAAUCAAUUAUUUUUCGACUUACCAAAUGGGAAUAAACAAUAUUUAAGAUUUUUUUUUAUUUCUCUAUUUUAUCAAAAUGAGCGUGAAUUUGUAUAUAUACA
rnacentral:lncRNA from 1 species